rnacentral:rRNA from 1 species
GCUGGCGGCGUGCUUAACACAUGCAAGUGGAGCGACGAACCGGGGCUUGCCCCGGGGCAGAGCCGCGAACGGGUGAGUAACACGUGGGUAACCCACCCCGAUGACCGGGACAACCCGAGGAAACUCGGGCUAAUACCGGAUGUGCUCCUUGACUUUGAGGUCAAGGCGUAAAGAUAGCUUCGGCCUUCGCAUCGGGACGGGCCCGCGGCCCAUUAGCUUGUUGGU